GACUCAUUCCCAUCCCAAUGCCCAGCGAUCUAAAGUUUUAACAUAUUCACCAAGUAAUUUCAUCACAGAAGAAUGAAAUUCACCCUUUAUUGGUGAAGACACUAGAAUCAGAAGAUGGCUCGUUGCCUCAGGAUGUCUUCAUUAACCAACUAUGACAUCACUCUGCCCUCCUCCUCCCAUUGAAAUUAGGUUUGAAAAAAGAAUGCUUUCUUCUUUUCCCCCAAAAAACUAAUCAUGAUGCAGGUAGUAUGAAUGUUUGGCCGUGCUGUGUGUAGAACAUGUGGGGUGUGUGUAAGUGCCUGUGUGGUGCCCACAACACUUUCCCAGUUGCUCACCAGGUUGAUAACUCCUGCUGCAGAAACACUUUUAAAUUAUGUUUCACGGCCUUUACUCAAAAAGAGUGCCUGGUGCAUUUAUUUUGUAUGAUGCUUUGCAGUAUUUUAGAAACUAGUGUUUUUUUUCUUGCUCGGCUUGUGAAAGUUGAUCAUUUGUCUGCUGUGGGUCACACUUAUACCAAUGUGGAAUAGAUUGUCCAGCAUCUCUGCAUAGUGCGAUGGAAGCAGAUUCAUGAAAGGGCUGUAGGUCAGUGGUUAAACAUCUGCUUUGUAUGCAAAAGAUCCAUGGUUCAGUCCCCAGCAUCUCCAGGUUGGACUUUGAGAGAUCCCACUUGAAUACCUGGAGAACGGUGCCAGUCACUGUAGAUAAUGCAGACCUAGUGUGGUCAAUGGUCUGACUCAGUAUAAGGCAGCUUCCUACACUUCCAUGGACUAAUAUGGGAUGUACAACUGGCACGUGUAAAUAUCCAUUGAUGUGCACAUUGCAUUGGAUCUCUCCCUUCGCCCUUGUUUAUAUAGGUAUAAGGUGUGUGGCAUUAGUACCAAUUCUGAUGAACAGUGCAAAAAUAAAAUUUAUGCUUCUGUGACCCAUGCACACACACACACAUAUGGCAGGUAGAAAGAAGAAAUUAUUAGGCACUUUAGACCAUCCACUCAGAAACUUUAAGCUAAUGCUACAAAACGCUCAGCAAUACUCAAAAUGGGGAACUUGAUAGCUGCUAAGAAGAGCAGGAGGAAGCAAUUUUCCUUAAAAAAACUACUGAUAGAUAUAGGUGAAAUUACACACCUCCAAUUUUACUCCAGGGCAUUAAGAGCCUGCAGCACCUCAGCUAUAAUAGCUUUUAUUCCUUGCAUUUGUUACAUUUAUACCCACUUGCCUUCCAACAAACUUGAGACAUUAUAUUAUGAGGCUAUGUGUCAGUCCCACAUGGUAGGUUAUAGGAGAAAGGGCUUUGACCAAGGCCAUUGCCGUGUGCUUUGUGGUUGAGGAUUCAAAUCCAGGUCUUGGUCAAUGACCAGCACUCUGUUCAUUGUACCUGGAGUUGUUGUUGGAGUCCAACUUCCAUCAUCCUUGAGACCAUUGGAGCCUGAUGGGAGUUGUAGUCCAACAACAUCCAGAGGGCCACAGGCAGUGGUGAGGUGUUGAAGAACAGAGCUGUGUGUGCCCCACGGCCUGCCCUAUGUUGCCAGAUUUCUGUCCUCAGCUGUGAUGGAGGACCCCAAUAUGUUAAAGAAAUAUUCAGCUGCCAGUCCAAUCAGCUUCUGAACAUAAAAUAGGGUGAAGGAGUCAUCUUGUUCUUUGACUCAGGCAGCACAACGUCUUGAGCUGGACUCCCCAUUCCUAGAAUCAUGGAGUAUCAUUUGGUCUACCUUAUGGAUCCAUAGAACCAUGAUGGAGAGAAUAAAUAAAAUUGAAAUCCAUGUAUAUUCAGGAACUAGACUUUAGGUUUCAGAAGUUUCACUUGUGGAAAUACAUCCGCAUCUCCAGUUGCUCCCUUAUCUUAUUAUAUGUGAUGGUUAUGUUGUGAAGUUGACUUUUAUAAAAAAAAAAUUUUUCAUGAUGAUGAUGAUGCUGGUGAAUAUUCUUGAUACGUCAAGAUCAUGGCUGCUCAUAGCCUAACUUGAGCCCACUGGUUGAAAGAUAGCAGUCCCAGAAUGUUAUGUUAUCUGUGACUUCACUAGAUUUAUGGUACAUCAGGAAUGCAAAAAGCAUUGCCAUUAUUUUUUGCUCAUUUCUCAAAUUCAGUCACAGAACUUCUGAAGUGACUUCUACAUACCUUUCAUGGGUUGCAAGAAGUCAUGUCAAACCUCACACUUGUACACAAAGGAGUCAGAGCAUGUUAUUUUGCACUCUUUGUGCAGCUCAGUUCUGCUGUUGCGUUGCCUAGUCACAUGUUUUCAUAAGAUCAUUAUGUCACAUCACUUUGACUGACUGUCAUUAUGCUAUUUCAGUUAAGUCACAGCUACUUAAAAUGGGAUUUUCUAGAAAGGAGCAAUGAAACAUCUUCUGCUUCCUGAUGCUGUGAAAACAAAAACUAAAGUAUUAAACAUUUCCUUUAUCCUUGCCUAUAUUAAAUUGUUAAGGUGGGAGAGAUGAAGGAAGAAAGAAAGAAAAAAGAGGGGGAGGGAAGAUGUAUGUGUUUGCCACUUCACACAAUAUACUCAUUCAAAAUGUCUAUUCUUCCACUGUAAGAUCAAUAGCCUGCAAUUCGUUUCUUUUAAAAAAUACACUUUGGUAUAGUGAACUUCACAAUGGUAGAUACUGUAGAUAGAAGGAUGCUGGUAGAAGCUUUCAAGUCACAAAGGAAUAACAGAGCUUCAGCAUCCAUAAUAUAGCUCAGAGCAUCAUUAUUUCAAUAUGAGGAUUAAUUGUGAAAAUGAUUAUGUUAGUUUUCAAAUUAUUCAGAUCUUAAUUACAACUGUGUUGGCCCAAUUAGUUUGAAACACAAGGCUAAUGUUAGGGUUCGGUGGCUACUUGGCAUCUGUGCAGAAGUGAGAGGCAUCUGUUACCGGGCGGUAGAGUGAUUGGAAGUGUCAACUUGCCAGCUGCAAAGUCAGGAAAGCUCUUUUAAAAAACAAAUUUGAGCCAACGUAAUGGUUUAGCACACUUCGGCACAAUGGGUAGGAGAUUUAGCGCUCAUUUCACACACAUAAGGAGAAUGUGUCACAGAACCUAACUGGAAAACAUCACAGAAUAAUAUUGGAAAGACACUGUGAUAACAGGUGGAAGCCUCUGACUCUGCUUGUGAGAGAUUUUGGGUCCCACUGAUGCCCUGGAAAUUAUUUGUAGUCUGCCUUUUUCUAAUAAGGCUCCAAGAUAGGUAACAAAUCUCUGUUCCUGACAGCUAUGCACUCCACCUGUCACCUUGAACUGGAACUGGAAAGACAAAGGCAAUCAAUGAAAAUCUUUGAACAUGGGGCAUUUCAGUGUGUGCUGCUGUUUGAUUUUUGAUUUAACUUAUGCAAAGUGCCACAUCACAGAAUUCAUUCCCACAUAGAGGGACACUUCCCCCAACUUCCCAAGAAAUAAGGUUCCAGAGUUUUGGAGCCAUGAGUUAGAAAGCCCUGCAACUUGUGCUUGCCAGCCUGACCUCAGAAGGAAAUGCCACAUUCAAGAGACUUUCUGGGCAUAUAUAAGAUGGUUGUUGGCAUCUGUCUUGUUUCAAGAUAUAAUGGAGUGCACCUCUAUCAAAGUGACCUCCUGGGGGACUAAGCCUGAGCAGUGUGCAUGGAGGUCUUUGGCUGCCCAGAUGACAAGACCUCAACCUCAUUGGUGUGGUCUAAAGGAACGCAUCGAAGAUAGUGGGGAGGUUUAUAUGGGGGGAAGGCAUUCUCUUAGGUAGGCAAUGCCCCAUUUGCCUAUUGCUUUAAAGAUCAAAACCAGCACCUUGAAAUGGGUCCAGAAUGUGGAGCAAUUUGAGAAUCAAGGGCUCUUCUGAGAAUUGUAUAAAAACUGGGUUGUACACACAGUACAGUUGGUGUUUCCAAACCAUCUUUAAGAGGCAGCCCCACAGAGAAACUACUACAGUCCUCCAACGAUGAUGUCUUGCCAAGCAUGAAUGGCAGAGUUUGUUUUCUGUUGAGCAGACUGCAGAAGGAAAGAUGGGCAUGGUUGCUAGGUACCAUAAUAAUAGAAAGAUGGAAUUGAAUAUUGUGAGUGAUUAGCAGAUGCACUGUCUUUCUUGGAGAGGAAAAAUCUCUUUAAGUAGCAUUCGUUAAGAUCUUGUAAUACCGACUUCCUUUGGUUCUACAUGUUUUUGGGGGGAGGCAGAGACAGAGAGAGAGAGAGAGAGAUUAUGAAUUGCAGAAAUUCAAUUGUUUAAAGCUAUGAAAUUCAGAGUGGCAGGGAGGGGGUUUUAUGUCUCUGACAAUUGAAACCAAUCUUGGUAACUUCUGACUUUGCCUUCCUCAAUUGAGGAUAUUAAUUGUAUUGCAAACUUUAUGGUGACAUGCUUAAUAUUAAUGUGUUAUUAACAUUUAAUGAAAGAGCAUAAACUUUGCUGAAAGGUAAUCAAUUGGCAGCAAGGCAGGAAAAAGGCGAACACUAAUAGCAGAAGCAGGAUUGCACUGAGCAGUAAUGCAUUCACUUUUGACCUAGUUUUUAUUAUGGAUCUUUUGUCAGCAAUUUUGCAUGGUUUGGGGGUUCUUGUUUUUUGUUUGCUUGUUUACUCAUAACGCAGAAAGUACAGAUGUAAGAAUGUGUAGGUUGCUUUUCUGUGGAUAAUUACUUUAAUUUAUUAGAUCUUUUAAACAGUUCUUACAGUGUAAGGCAACAAUUUAAAAAUGCAAUAUUAAAACCUGUUAGACUGAAUGAGAAUCUGAAUACAGUGGUGCCUCGCAAGACGAAAUUAAUUCGUUCCGCGAGUUUUUCCGUCUAGCGAAUUUUUCGUCUUGCGAAGCAUGAAAUCCCAUAGGAAUGCAUUGAAAUUCAAUUAAUGCGUUCCUAUGGUCAAAAAAAGUCCAAACAAAGCCACAUUUGGUACAACAAUAGUUUAUUAACUGCUCUUUAAAGUCACACAUACUGUAAAGAGCAUUUCAAAAAUUGAAGGAACAAUAAAUUAAGUUUCU